rnacentral:rRNA from 1 species
AGCGAACGCUGGCGGCAGGCCUAAUACAUGCAAGUCGAACGGUCUCUUCGGAGGCAGUGGCGGACGGGUGAGUAACGCGUGGGAACGUGCCCUUUGGUACGGAACAACUGAGGGAAACUUCAGCUAAUACCGUAUGUGCCCCUUCGGGGAAAGAUUUAUCGCCAUUGGAGCGGCCCGCGUUGGAUUAGCUAGUUGGUGGGGUAAUGGCCCACCAAGGCGACGAUCCAUAGCUGGUCUGAGAGGAUGAUCAGCCACACUGGGACUGAGACACGGCCCAGACUCCUACGGGAGGCAGCAGUAGGGAAUCUUGCGCAAUGGGCGAAAGCCUGACGCAGCCAUGCCGCGUGAAUGAUGAAGGUCUUAGGGAUUGUAAAGUUCUUUUGCCCGUGACGAUGAUGACGGUAACGGGAGAAUAAGCUCCGGCUAACUUCGUGCCAGCAGCCGCGGUAAU